UCUUUUAAGUGCACAGGGUUGUGUACUGUACAUUAGAGGUUGUGACAACACUGAAAGAGUCUGCACACAAAGUUGACUUCAAGGUUUUUUAUGCCCGGUCACAGGUGAGCUUGAUCCCCGAACCUCCAAGCUACUCGGUAUGUUUUCAGUUAUAAUAUGAUAGAGAGCUUUAAGUGAGGUGAGGUGGAAUUGGGUUUAACGUCGUGCUUGAG